GAUGAAGAACGCAGCGAAAUGCGAUACGUAAUGUGAAUUGCAGAAUUCAGUGAAUCAUCGAAUCUUUGAACGCAUAUUGCGCUCUCUGGUAUUCCGGAGAGCAUGCUUGUUUGAGUAUCAGUAAACACCUCAGCUUCCAUAUCUUUUUUGAAAUGGGAGUUGGACUUGAGUGAUCCCAACGCUUUUCCUCACCGAAAAGUGGCGGGUUACUUGAAAUGCAGGUGCAGCUGGACUUUUCUCUGAGCUAUAAGCAUAUCUAUUUAGUCUGCCUAAAAAACAGAUUAUUACCUUUGCUGCAGCUAACAUAAAGGAGAUUAGUUCUUGUGCUGACUGAUGCAGGAUUCACAAAGACAGGCUUCGGCCGACUUUGUAAACUCGAUCUCAAAUCAAGUAAGACUACCCGCUGAACUUAAGCAUAUCAAUAAGCGGAGGA
rnacentral:misc_RNA from 1 species